UCUGGUGGCAAUAGCGGAGGUGUCACACCCGGUCACAUGCCGAACCCGGCAGUUAAGCCCUCCAGCGCCGAUGGUACUGCAAGGGGUACUUGUGGGAGAGUAGGUCGCCGCCAGGA
rnacentral:rRNA from 1 species